ensembl:lncRNA
UACCUUCGGCUGAUUCUACCAGCAGACACUGAAGGACUCUGAUAGUUCGAGUGAAAGCAGCAGUUCCUCCUUAAGGUCAGAGAUUGCAGCAUCUGAGGGCCUCUUCAAAAGAAGACGUAGUUGAUGAAGGCGUUCUGGAGCAGGACCAGAAAGACCACGACCAAGCAGCCUUGAGAUCUUAGGCAGCGUCUCCCUCAGCUUCAGCUCCAGAGACGGCAGGCGGGACGAGUCAACGGAGGCCGGGUGGACGAAGGCAUGCAGCUGAGUACAAUCCAGAAAACAACAGAGGAGGAGUGCAGUGGCCCAGAGCCAGAACAGAGUAGCAUCACCAAAGAACUACAGACUCUUCACAACCUGCUCAAACUCUUGGUACAGGACCUCACCACACGGGUCAAGAAGGUUUCUCUCUCAUUUCUACUCUGAAGCUCACCUUCUCCUGCUCAAACUGCUGACAAAUGUUUCUGCUGCUCUAAAGUCUGGUCUCCAGAACUUCCUAAAAACUCUCAAAGUCUCUUCUGCUGCAGGUUGCUUUGUAGAACUGUUCCAGAAAACCUCACUAAACCAAAUGGAGGGGCCUCAAGAUAGUCGUCCAAAUGAAACGGUACAAAAACCA